CACGUAGGGGGCAAGCGUUGUCCGGAUUUAUUGGGCGUAAAGAGCUCGUAGGUGGUUCAGUAAGUCGGGUGUGAAACCUCCAGGCUCAACCUGGAGACGCCACCCGAUACUGCUGUGACUAGAGUCCAGUAGGGGAGCAUGGAAUUCCUGGUGUAGCGGUGAAAUGCGCAGAUAUCAGGAGGAACACCAGUGGCGAAGGCGGUGCUCUGGGCUGGAACUGACACUGAGGAGCGAAAGCGUGGGGAGCGAACAGG
rnacentral:rRNA from 1 species